GGCAGCACGGGAGCAAUCCUGGUGGCGAGUGGCGAACGGGUGAGUAAUACAUCGGAACGUGCCCAGUAGUGGGGGAUAACCCGGCGAAAGCCGGACUAAUACCGCAUACGACCUACGGGUGAAAGCGGGGGAUCGCAAGACCUCGCGCUAUCGGAGCGGCCGAUGUCAGAUUAGCUUGUUGGCGGGGUAAAAGCCCACCAAGGCGACGAUCUGUAGCUGGUCUGAGAGGACGACCAGCCACACUGGGACUGAGACACGGCCCAGACUCCUACGGGAGGCAGCAGUGGGGAAUUUUGGACAAUGGGCGCAAGCCUGAUCCAGCCAUGCCGCGUGCGGGAAGAAGGCCUUCGGGUUGUAAACCGCUUUUGUCAGGGAAG
rnacentral:rRNA from 1 species